rnacentral:rRNA from 1 species
ACAGAGGGUGCAAGCGUUAAUCGGAAUUACUGGGCGUAAAGCGCGCGUAGGUGGUUUGUUAAGUUGGAUGUGAAAUCCCCGGGCUCAACCUGGGAAUGGCAGUGGAUACUGGCGAGCUAGAGUGUGUCAGAGGAUGGUGGAAUUCCCGGUGUAGCGGUGAAAUGCGUAGAGAUCGGGAGGAACAUCAGUGGCGAAGGCGGCCAUCUGGGACAACACUGACGCUGAAGCACGAAAGCGUGGGGAGCAAACAGGA